AUAGGGGAGCCGAAGGGAAACCGAGUCUUAACUGGGCGUUAAGUUGCAGGGUAUAGACCCGAAACCCGGUGAUCUAGCCAUGGGCAGGUUGAAGGUUGGGUAACACUAACUGGAGGACCGAACCGACUAAUGUUGAAAAAUUAGCGGAUGACUUGUGGCUGGGGGUGAAAGGCCAAUCAAACCGGGAGAUAGCUGGUUCUCCCCGAAAGCUAUUUAGGUAGCGCCUCGUGAAUUCAUCUCCGGGGGUAGAGCACUGUUUCGGCAAGGGGGUCAUCCCGACUUACCAACCCGAUGCAAACUGCGAAUACCGGAGAAUGUUAUCACGGGAGACACACGGCGGGUGCUAACGUCCGUCGUGAAGAGGGAAACAACCCAGACCGCCAGCUAAGGUCCCAAAGUCAUGGUUAAGUGGGAAACGAUGUGGGAAGGCCCAGACAGCCAGGAUGUUGGCUUAGAAGCAGCCAUCAUUUAAAGAAAGCGUAAUAGCUCACUGGUCGAGUCGGCCUGCGCGGAAGAUGUAACGGGGCUAAACCAUGCACCGAAGCUGCGGCAGCGACACUGUGUGUUGUUGGGUAGGGGAGCGUUCUGUAAGCCUGUGAAGGUGUGCUGUGAGGCAUGCUGGAGGUAUCAGAAGUGCGAAUGCUGACAUAAGUAACGAUAAAGCGGGUGAAAAGCCCGCUCGCCGGAAGACCAAGGGUUCCUGUCCAACGUUAAUCGGGGCAGGGUGAGUCGACCCCUAAGGCGAGGCCGAAAGGCGUAGUCGAUGGGAAACAGGUUAAUAUUCCUGUACUUGGUGUUACUGCGAAGGGGGGACGGAGAAGGCUAUGUUGGCCGGGCGACGGUUGUCCCGGUUUAAGCGUGUAGGCUGGUUUUCCAGGCAAAUCCGGAAAAUCAAGGCUGAGGCGUGAUGACGAGGCACUACGGUGCUGAAGCAACAAAUGCCCUGCUUCCAGGAAAAGCCUCUAAGCAUCAGGUAACAUCAAAUCGUACCCCAAACCGACACAGGUGGUCAGGUAGAGAAUACCAAGGCGCUUGAGAGAACUCGGGUGAAGGAACUAGGCAAAAUGGUGCCGUAACUUCGGGAGAAGGCACGCUGAUAUGUAGGUGAAGUCCCUCGCGGAUGGAGCUGAAAUCAGUCGAAGAUACCAGCUGGCUGCAACUGUUUAUUAAAAACACAGCACUGUGCAAACACGAAAGUGGACGUAUACGGUGUGACGCCUGCCCGGUGCCGGAAGGUUAAUUGAUGGGGUCAGCGCAAGCGAAGCUCUUGAUCGAAGCCCCGGUAAACGGCGGCCGUAACUAUAACGGUCCUAAGGUAGCGAAAUUCCUUGUCGGGUAAGUUCCGACCUGCACGAAUGGCGUAAUGAUGGCCAGGCUGUCUCCACCCGAGACUCAGUGAAAUUGAACUCGCUGUGAAGAUGCAGUGUACCCGCGGCAAGACGGAAAGACCCCGUGAACCUUUACUAUAGCUUGACACUGAACAUUGAGCCUUGAUGUGUAGGAUAGGUGGGAGGCUUUGAAGUGUGGACGCCAGUCUGCAUGGAGCCGACCUUGAAAUACCACCCUUUAAUGUUUGAUGUUCUAACGUGGACCCGUGAUCCGGGUUGCGGACAGUGUCUGGUGGGUAGUUUGACUGGGGCGGUCUCCUCCUAAAGAGUAACGGAGGAGCACGAAGGUUGGCUAAUCCUGGUCGGACAUCAGGAGGUUAGUGCAAUGGCAUAAGCCAGCUUGACUGCGAGCGUGACGGCGCGAGCAGGUGCGAAAGCAGGUCAUAGUGAUCCGGUGGUUCUGAAUGGAAGGGCCAUCGCUCAACGGAUAAAAGGUACUCCGGGGAUAACAGGCUGAUACCGCCCAAGAGUUCAUAUCGACGGCGGUGUUUGGCACCUCGAUGUCGGCUCAUCACAUCCUGGGGCUGAAGUAGGUCCCAAGGGUAUGGCUGUUCGCCAUUUAAAGUGGUACGCGAGCUGGGUUUAGAACGUCGUGAGACAGUUCGGUCCCUAUCUGCCGUGGGCGCUGGAGAACUGAGGGGGGCUGCUCCUAGUACGAGAGGACCGGAGUGGACGCAUCACUGGUGUUCGGGUUGUCAUGCCAAUGGCACUGCCCGGUAGCUAAAUGCGGAAGAGAUAAGUGCUGAAAGCAUCUAAGCACGAAACUUGCCCCGAGAUGAGUUCUCCCUGACCCUUUAAGGGUCCUGAAGGAACGUUGAAGACGACGACGUUGAUAGGCCGGGUGUGUAAGCGCAGCGAUGCGUUGAGCUAACCGGUACUAAUGAACCGUGAGGCUUAACCUUACAACGCCGAAGGUGUUU
rnacentral:rRNA from 1 species